UUCUCCACCCUCGACUUGCUCCCUCUUCUUUGGCUGUCCUACUCCCACUCCCACUCUCUCUCCCUCUCAAAGCCCAUCCCGAAGCAGCUCAUUCUCUACCUGCCUCUCCUCUCCAACACCUCCUUGUUUCAGAUCAUUUUUCUUCAAUUUCUACCUAUCAAUGCGUAGGUUUCUCGUUCAGAUUGCUACAGUCAUGGAGGUAAC
rnacentral:lncRNA from 1 species